rnacentral:rRNA from 1 species
AUUGAACGCUGGCGGCAGGCCUAACACAUGCAAGUCGAACGGUAACAGGAAGCAGCUUGCUGCUUUGCUGACGAGUGGCGGACGGGUGAGUAAUGUCUGGGAAACUGCCUGAUGGAGGGGGAUAACUACUGGAAACGGUAGCUAAUACCGCAUAACGUCGCAAGACCAAAGAGGGGGACCUUCGGGCCUCUUGCCAUCGGAUGUGCCCAGAUGGGAUUAGCUAGUAGGUGGGGUAACGGCUCACCUAGGCGACGAUCCCUAGCUGGUCUGAGAGGAUGACCAGCCACACUGGAACUGAGACACGGUCCAGACUCCUACGGGAGGCAGCAGUGGGGAAUAUAGCACAAUGGGCGCAAGCCUGAUGCAGCCAUGCCGCGUGUAUGAAGAAGGCCUUCGGGUUGUAAAGUACUUUCAGCGGGGAGGAAGGGAGUAAAGUUAAUACCUUUGCUCAUUGACGUUACCCGCAGAAGAAGCACCGGCUAACUCCGUG